CUAUAAUAUAACAAUGGCCAUUUUCCUGACUUGGUACAGGACAUUUUUAAAGAUAAAAAUGGUGGGUUGAACCUGGUUUUGUGGCAUGCCAAACCUCGCACUUUAAUGGCAAUAUUAAAUAUAACAUUGAAAUGACAACAUAAUAUUACAGGACUACAAUACAAAUAAAUAGGAGAACGUAUUAGACAAAGAAACACAUGAUUAAUAGAUAACAAAAGGCAUCAGGUUUAAAAUUCAAUACGCCAAAAA
rnacentral:lncRNA from 1 species